CGAGAGGACCGGGAUGGACGUACCUCUGGUGUACCAGUUGUUCUGCCAAGGGCAUGGCUGGGUAGCUAUGUACGGAAUGGAUAAGCGCUGAAAGCAUCUAAGCGCGAAGCCAACUUCAAGAUAAGAUGUCCCACCGCAAGGGUAAGACCCCAGAAAGACUAUCUGGUUGAUAGGUCGAAGGUGUAAGUGCAGCAAUGUAUUUAGCUUAUCGAUACUAAUAGGUCGAGGACUUGACCAAU
rnacentral:rRNA from 1 species